UGUGAUUGAGGUGAUUAAAGCAUUGUUUAGGUCUGGAUGCUUGGAUGCUGGACAAAAGUUAGGGUGUCGAGUUGAGGAGAAAGCCGAAGCAAACUGUCAAGAAUGUACACAAGUGAGUAAUUCCUAAAAGUUCCAAUUUUUGUGUAAGGUAUUAGUUUUACCAUAGAGUAGAGGAACCAAGAUUUUUUUCGCAUGUGUUUUUGGUAUAACUAUCAAAUCUAUGUAGCAUGUUUUAACUUAAUAAUUUUUGACUGCUUGAAGCUUAGAAGAAAUUUCACGAGCAUAUAGUAGCAAUGAUUAAG
rnacentral:misc_RNA from 1 species